CCCUCGAACCACAUGAUCUCCUGAGGAAGUCCAUCUGCCCCCAGAACAGGAACUCUGGGGAACGUGUCCGAUAUGCUAAUGAGGAGCACAACGAGAAACACUAGGGGGCAAAAGCAACUCUUCAUUUUGGCAGGGCGAGGCUGCCGGGCUGUCAGCUCAGCAAGAUUCACAUCGGGUGGCUGCAGCUGCAGAGAAGAAGGAGCCCGAUAUACUGGGAUGAGCACUAGUUGCUGAACCAUCCCCCGCCCCCUGUUUUUGGAGAACAAAAGCAUGGGGAACCAUGGGAAGACAUCGUCCUGUGUUUUCCUGUUAGUUGCCCUCAUCUUAGUGACAACUGGUCUGAUUGCCUGUGUGGUCUUUAUCUCCUUAGCCCCGACCCGGCUGAGACAGUGCCAGGAGCAGCUGAAGAAUGACACCUCAGCUCUGAUGGGGAAACUCGCCAACCUGGAGGAGGACAAGGGGGCCCUGGAAAAGCAGCGGGACGGGCGAGGGCAGAGGUCACGGCGCUGCGGUGGGAGCUGGCUGGCGCCAAUCAGACCCUCUGGGAGACGCGUGGGCGCUGGGAUUCCUGCAGGAGCCUGACGCACGACCUGCAAAACAACAUCACUGCCCUGAAGGAUGAAAUCACCCAGCUGGGAGGCCGAGACACUGAGCAAGGACGGGGACAAGGUGAAAUAGUCAAGCUCAGACAGCAGCUCCAAGAGGCUCAGCAGCAUAGUGAUAAACUGCAAGCUGCCAUCCGGCAGCUGGAGCAGCAGCGGCCCCAUAGCCAGAAGAAUCAGAGCUCUGGUGGGAGCAGCCUCCGGAUCCCAAUCGUGGCCGGCUACCUGAGCCUGCUGGCUCUGUCCCUCACCAGGGUCCUACUCCUGUGAGAGAAGCAGGUUUGUACAGGGCUGACCACGCAGCGGGAGAGUGGAGAAUCCCCACGGGAACACGGUGCAAUGCAUAACGCAGCCAGCUUGCCCCCAUCCCCAAAACGCUCACGGGAACUAUUCUAAGUCACUAGCUUGCUUGGCAUUUCCCCUGGGUCGCGCAGGGAGACGGCUCCUGCCCAGCCCAGCCCUGGCGGAAGGAUCUCGGCUCCUGCCCAGCACUGGAAGACGAUGGGGAAACGGUGAAGAAGAUCCAGAGGGUGAAGAGCACAGGGAGGAAGGCGCCAAUUCAUCCAGAGCCCCUGGGGUUUCUUGGCUGGAGAUUGCCCCAGACGACGGUUGCCCUGAGCGGGGUUAAGCCCCAGCUGGGGUAUUUGCUGCUCCCUUAGGGUUUCUAUUUUUCUAAUAAAAUGUUGCCAACCCCAAAGUUUUGUGGUGUCAUUUGUCCUCCCACAUCCUGCCUGAUCAGAGACACGGGGCUCAGAGUGAGCAGCCCCGGAGCCGUGUUCGUGGCCAUCGCACGCCUGACCUGCCUUCAGAGAGCAGGGAAGAGGCAGCUCAAACUUUGCUGCUAGUUUGGAGCACGGGGCAAACCCCU